GACGAACGCUGGCGGCGUGCUUAACACAUGCAAGUCGAACGGUAAGGCCCUUCGGGGUACACGAGUGGCGAACGGGUGAGUAACACGUGGGUGAUCUGCCCUGCACUUCGGGAUAAGCCCGGGAAACUGGGUCUAAUACCGGAUAGGACCCUGGGAUGCAUGUCCUGGGGUGGAAAGCUUUUGCGGUGUGGGAUGGGCCCGCGGCCUAUCAGCUUGUUGGUGGGGUGAUGGCCUACCAAGGCGACGACGGGUAGCCGGCCUGAGAGGGUGACCGGCCACACUGGGACUGAGAUACGGCCCAGACUCCUACGGGAGGCAGCAGUGGGGAAUAUUGCACAAUGGGCGCAAGCCUGAUGCAGCGACGCCGCGUGAGGGAUGACGGCCUUCGGGUUGUAAACCUCUUUCAGCACCGACGAAGCGCAAGUGACGGUAGGUGCAGAAGAAGGACCGGUCAACUACGUGCCAGCCGCCGCAGUAA
rnacentral:rRNA from 1 species